UGGACCCACGGGGGCGGCGCGCGAACCCCAGGGCCUGAGGGGGCCCCGCCUCCCGGCCGGCGGGGCGCUGACGGAGGGGGGGUAGCGCACCCCGACUCCCCUGAUCACAUGGGCUGCGGGGGGGGGGGCCAGGAAGAUCGGGAGAGGGGGAGGUGCGCAGAGCCGCCCGCCGCUCCUCACCCGGGCCGGGAGAAGUCGCCCCCCGCACCCCCCCACGAGUCCGUCCUCUCCAUUCAAGUUCGCCGGGCCUUGCCGCCGGGAUCGGGGAUGGCCCCCAGCUGCCCGCCCAGCUCUGCGUCCUGUUUCCAGCCACCGCGCAGAAAUUUAGGUCAAGGACGUCGGGAGCAAACCCACACCCUGGAGCUCUUCGGGAGGCCCCCGAGACCCCCCCACCCCAGGAUCGGGAUGGAGGGGGGGCUUCAGGAUGGCGGAGAACCCCCAGCACAAACAUCAGCCACAAGUUUUAUUUUGCCUUCGCGCUGCAAGUUCGGCGCUCGCUCCACACCGGCACGUCCUGCGCGGCUCCCCGCCCUUCCCCGCAGAGGUUUGAAGCUGGCCCUGUGGAUACCCAGUGGGCAACUAAAAGCAGGAUGAAGCUUGGCAUCUCUCCCUUUGCCCUAUGUCUGUCUCCUUUAUUACCUUCGCAUUUUGAGUCAGAUCCCUGCUCGGCUCUGCUGCAGGCGCAUUAAGGAGCCUAAGGUUUAUCAGCCCUAAAUGUGCCCAUCCUGGCUCAUCCCCCUUCCAGACCAAGGGCACCAAGCUAAGAGAAACUAAAGUAAUUACCAGGACCUGCAGGGACAUCCAAUAGCCAGCUUUCACAAUGUCCACUUUCAGACCCCCUAGAGCGAUACCCAGAAGUCUCCAGUCAUUGUCCUCAACCUGCGGUCACCCUGGAAUUCUGGGAAAGCAAAGCCUUGUGCACCCUGGGAUGAGGUCCCCUCCCAGAUGGGAGUAAUUACCCAUGGAGGAACAAAAGCUGCCCUGAGCAAGUCAUUAUCUCCCAAUGGGCACCGAAUUUCCCCAAGACAUGAGGCUUCUUCCAGAACCUCAGGAACCAGUCCUGAGAUACUGGUGGACCAGACCACGACCCGACCCGGUCACCUAUACCGAAAGCUCUGCAAAACUCCCAGCCACACCUUGUUGUCUCCCAGCCCUUGCCUUGUUUGGUUCUCUGUAAGACCCCACAGCUUCUGUCAGCCCCUUGAAGACAGAUCGUGAAUCUCUUUAUCUGUCCUCCCAGCAUGGCCAGGCUGAUCAAAGCUCCUUUCCUGCCAGGGUGGAGGCACCUGGGCUAUAUAAUGAGUUGAAGGCCAGCCUGAACUACACAACAAGACCCCAUCUCGAAAACAAACAAACAGAGAAUGAACCUCCUUCCCUGCCCUUUACCCUGCUCAUCUUGAUUGGUGUUGAGAGACUCUCCUGGGGCCCCCGGAGAGGGGCUUUUGCUCCCAAAACUCCAGUAACAAAUUCAGAGAGGGAAGAGAGAUGACUCACUGUACGGAGUCAUCCUUUGCUGGGGACAUGGACCACCCGGGCGUCCUUUGCUGGGGACAGGACUGCACCUGUGGUCACGAAGACUCAUUGCAAAGGACUGGCUCUCAUGGAUGACAACAACAGCAAGAGUUAUUUAGCUCGUGGGAUACAUUUCACCCCAGGUUUAUGAAGCCCCUGACUGCAAAAUUAAAUUUGACGUCACCCUUUGGGUGGACACAGUACGGUCGCAGGCUUUCCCGGGGAGCGGGUUUAGACACCCCAAGACCUCUCUCUUCGAGAGUUUGGCCAUGGCAGGUGCUGAGUCCCUAGAACAGCCUUGCUGCCAGGGACUAAUGCAAUGUGUGGAGGAAAUGGAGCGAUUUCCACACCUGGUUAACUCCUUGGCCGCUCAGUUGUUCUUCAUCAGCCCCGCCCUGGCCAAGCUCAGGAAGAAUUCCAGGAAGGCCACCCCUCAGAAUCAGCAUGUAAGCUGAUGAGACCACGGACGUCCUUUCAAAGGACUAUAACUGCUGACAUCGAGGCCAUUGCGAGAGGUCGUAUAAUUUUCUCUCCAUUCACCAUGUUCAGGGCACAGAGGCAG
rnacentral:lncRNA from 1 species